CACCAGACUCCUACGGGAGGCAGCAGUGAGGAAUAUUGGUCAAUGGUCGGGAGACUGAACCAGCCAAGCCGCGUGAGGGAUGAAGGUACAGAGUAUCGUAAACCUCUUUUGUCAGGGAACAAAGGCGGGGACGCGUCCCCGGAUGAGUGUACCUGAAGAAAAAGCAUCGGCUAACUCCGUGCCAGCAGCCGCGGUAAUACGGAGGAUGCGAGCGUUAUCCGGAUUUAUUGGGUUUAAAGGGUGCGUAGGCGGACUGUUAGUUCAGGGGUAAAAGCCGGGGGCCCACCCCGGGCGAGCCGUUGAAACUGGCUGUCUUGAGAUGUCGAGAGGUAUGCGGAAUGCGCAGUGUAGCGGUGAAAUGCUUAGAUAUUGCGCAGAACUCCGAUUGCGAAGGCAGCAUACCGGCGCUCAACUGACGCUCAUGCACGAAAGCGUGGGCAGCGAACAGGAUUAGAUACCCGAGUA
rnacentral:rRNA from 1 species